CUACAUACAACACUUGCAAACACCCACAUUCAAUUGCAGCACGAAUUUGAUUUACAAUGUUGGGCUUGAUUACAGCCGCAACAACAUAAUGUUGUUUAGGGUUUGGAACGAACCUAGCUCCUGAUGUCAAGAAGAAAUACAUCAAAAAUACUUCGUUAAGGAAAGUAAUUACAAAAGAUAAAGAAACUAAAUCUAUAAGGAAAGUAAUUAGGACUCUAAAUUACAAAGGAAAAGGAAACUAAAUCCUAAAGAUUACAUAUCCUAAUCUUACUUAAAAUAGGACUUCAAUAACAUUUACAAUUAAGACUUAAAUCAACAAUCAACAUGGGCGAUUAUAGCUCCAAGGAGAGCACGAGUGAAGUCAUAUUGUGAAGCCUACUAACAUCAAUAGGAAGGGCAACAUGGUCAACCAAAUGCCAGAUCACGAGAGGGAGAUGCAUUGUUCCUUCGGACUGCGUUGGAUAACUCGUGGAGGCUCAUCGUUUUGAGAAAGUGCAACCAUAUGUACCUACAAUAGAAGGACCGAAGUACAAGCUGAUACGAAAGAAGGAAUGGUAGCCCGACUUAAGGAAGAAAGAUGAGCUUAUAAAUGUACCAAAAAAGGAAAUUCGUGCAUAAGCUCGAAUAACGGAAGCAAUGUCGGUCUUAAAGGCAGAGAAGAUGAAGCAGAUGGUUUAUUCACCAAAAAUAAUAGGCCAGGCACCCUAGAAAUUAGGGUAGUAGGAGGAGCGAAGUACCUCUUUCUUCGAAAGGGGGGUCUUUUUUUCUUCCCUAAGACCUUCGAAUAUGGUGUCCCUGAUUAGCAGUUGAGUUAUAGAGGAAUAGUCAACGGAUGUGAAGAAGAGUUGCUUAGUUGCUUCCACUUUUUCAAAUUAAAAGACAAAGUAACCUAUAACUUGGAAUAAAGGAUCUUUUUUUGGG
rnacentral:lncRNA from 1 species